ensembl:snoRNA
ACUCACAGUGACGGCCGCCCAGGGCUCCCCGACCCACGCAGGCCUCUGCCGGGGGUGACGCCAGUCCUGGUGUCAGUGAUU